rnacentral:rRNA from 1 species
AAGGAAUUGACGGGGGCCCGCACAAGCGGUGGAGCAUGCGGUUUAAUUCGAAGCAACGCGCAGAACCUUACCAGCCCUUGACAUCCCGGUCGCGGUUUCCAGAGAUGGAUACCUUCAGUUCGGUUGGACCGGUGACAGGUGCUGCAUGGCUGUCGUCAGCUCGUGUCGUGAGAUGUUGGGUUAAGUCCCGCGACGAGCGCAACCCUCGUCUUCAGUUGCCAUCAGGUUUGGCUGGGCACUCUGAAGAAACUGCCGGUGACAAGCCGGAGGAAGGUGGGGGUGACGUCAAGUCCUCAUGGCCCUUACGGGCUGGGCUACACACGUGCUACAAUGGCGGUGACAAUGGGUUGCGAUCCCGCGAGGGGGAGCUAAUCCCAAAAAACCGUCUCAGUUCGGAUUGCAGUCUGCAACUCGACUGCAUGAAGUCGGAAUCGCUAGUAAUCGCGGAUCAGCAUGCCGCGGUGAAUCCGUUCCCGGGCCUUGUACACACCGCCCGUCACACCAUGGGAGUUGGCUGACCCGAAGCUGGUGCGCUAACCGCAAGGAGGCAGCCAACCAC